CGCUCCCUGACAGGACAUUGUCUCCUCCUCCUGUUGCUCUCCCUGCAGCUCUCCUUCCACCGGGACACAGAGGAGGAAAAAUCCAAGCAAAGCAAAGGCGGGGAGCAACAAGCGAGCCUGUGUCCACGCCAUCUUUCCAGGAGGAGUCAGCCAGGAGGAGUGUUGCUCAGCUCAAGACGGGCUCUUCACGUCUUUUCUUUCGGCUUAAGGGGGAAAAAAACCCAUAAAGCCUGAAAGCAGGGCAGGAUGAAGAGAGGAGAGGAGCGACACCCGAGGAGAGACGCAAAACUUCACUUUUGCCGUCUCUUACCACAGGAAAAGAAACCCACUCCUUUAAAAUUCGGGGGCAGAUUUGUAUAAUUUGUGUAUUGCGCAGAAAGCACAACUGAAAGAAAACAAAUCCAGCUACAUCCAAAAGUUUAAGUCUUGAUUUUGUAUCUUAAUGUGAAAUAAAUAAAUACAAUGUAUAAAGAUUCACAACA